rnacentral:lncRNA from 1 species
GCUCCGCCCCGCCUCCUUCCCGCCGCCUUUUGGCGCGCUUCGCCCCCGGGCCCCCGGCGCGGCCGCCUGCCUGAGACUGGGCGCCGACCGGACGCCGGAGCCCUACUGCUGUGUCCACGGCCCCUCGGCCGGCUUAGGGCGCAUCUUCCGGGUCUCGCUCCUCCGCCCCCAUCGGCGCCGGACCCUCCGCGCCGGGCGCUUGGGAUCCGAGGCCCAGAAGAAGGGCCGCGCAUCUUAGGGGCGCCGCCAUCCAGGUCCGCGGAGUGUCUGCACUGGCUGUGGCCUACAGGGGACAGGCGUGGAGGUCGCGGCCCCGUAACCCAGGGUAAAGUGGAGCCGCUUGCUUCUGGGUACCAGCCGGGUUCCUCGGCUCAGAAGGGCACGCCUCGCCUGUGCCCCUGCGCGUCCGGGGAGUCACUUGGGACGCAAACGCUCCAGGGUCGCGCCCGCACCAAGCUCCCUCCCAGGGACAACGCCUCCUGGCCCCGCCCGG